UACCUCACGAGGGAAAUAUGACAAGCUGACUAUACCGUAGUCGUGGAAAAGGCUACAAUUAAAAAAUGGGGGCUUCCCAAAGUUCAGAUAGCGAGGGAUCUGAUGUUCAUUUCACAGAUGAAGAGAAGGAUAUUAUUUCCCAAAUGUUUACAAAGAUAUCCCAUGGGAAAAAGACAAUUUCCAAAGAACAGCUUGAGUCUUACACAGGUCCUGUCCUAGGACAAGAGAUGAGCCACAGUAUAUUCUGUGUUAUGGAGUUGUCAGAAAAACGGCAUCAGCCUGAUGGUGGCAUCAGUCUACAACAGUUCCUGCAGUGUCUGUCCCGUCUGCUGCGAGGCAGCGUGACAGAGAGGUCAACUAUCCUUCUGUAUCUAGCAACAGGGGGCAAGUCUGAAGCAACACCUCAACAACUAAUUAAGUGUGUGACUAUGCUGAUAUACAGUUUUGCAAGGAUUGCAGAGAAACAUGUUGAGUAUAAAAGUUGGGUGCUACAUCGGAGUGAAGAAGCCUUCUCUCGUCUUGCCCUCUGUCUUUUGGAAGAUCUCUUCCAUGCAGGUCCUGACAAAGACCGUGGCAUGGGAGUUCCCGUGGUACCAGACAACACUACCUUCAAUCAGAGUCAGAUAGAAGACUGUAUUUCAAAAUCACAGCUAUUUCUCCAGAUGUUUGAGCAGAUAUUCUCAGGAUGCUUUCAUGUAGUUUCAAAGGAUGAAGAAGUAGCCCAUCAUCUGACCCCACGGGUGCCAGUGGCCGGCUGUAUCAACUGGGCCAAGGUCAAGAGCAUCCUAGACUUCCCCUCCCUCAUCUUCCUCAACUCUGUGCUCCCCCCUGACAAGCAGAUGGAGUGGCGCUUCCUCUACUCCAACCUUGUGUUCGGGGACAGCUUCACGCAGCUGGUGCAGAAGAUAACAAGGCAGGGGCCCACUGUAGUCAUCGUCCGAGACAAGGAUGGGAAUGUGUUUGGGGGCUAUGCAAGUCAGGACUUGGAAUUUAACCCCAAGUUUACAGGUGAUGCUCAGUGUGCAUUGUUCAGCCUGAAGCCGCACUAUGGGGUUUAUACUACCACUGGAUACAACGACCACUACGUGUACUUCAACAACCACGUCCAGACUCUGCCCAAUGGGUUGGGUAUGGGAGGACAGUUUGACUACUUCGGUCUGUGGAUCGACCACACGUUCAACAACGGACACAGCAAGGCUGGGCCGCGAUGUACCACGUACGGCAGCCCACAGCUGUCGGGGAAGCCUGACUUUGAGGUGGACGUUAUUGAAGUGUGGGCGGUGGGACCGGAGAAGAAGAUAGAUGAUGAUGACAUCACAGACGAGUCAAGAAAGAAGAAGAGCAUCCUGGAUAAGGACCCCGAGGCUCAGGCCAUGUUGACGCUGAUCGGGAAGGGGCCUGUCAGCGAGGGUCUGCGAGAGGAAGAUGACACAGCAGGCAAUCCAGAACACAGCAAAGUCGUGUCGCUGUUCUAGAGGGAAUUACUAAUAUGGAGGGCUGUAAGGGGCUGACAAUUAUUCCUUUCUAGAUAUCCCGAAAAUUAAUUUGUGGGUCUAUAAAACUCUUUGGCUCAUCAUUUCAGAGAACAAAAUUGUUAUGAAUACACAAUGCCAUAUAGAAAGUGGUCAAUUGUAAAACAACAUGUAAUCCCAAGUAUAAUGUGUAACAAAUUUGUUAGGAAGUGCUGACUGAAACCGUAUUCUCUUCAUAAUAAACAAAAGUCUUUCCCCUUCUCCCUCUAAAGUAAUAUGGUAGUAUGGUAAUAUGGUUACUUGUGCAAUGUGUACAGGCUGUGACCACAUAGGUACAUGUGAGGAUGAAAUGUAUUCAGUGUUCAUUCAGGAUGUAGUGUGCUCCGCUUCAUACCACUCCCUUGUUUCCAUAGUGACAACACACUGGAUUAUGUGGUUCUUACAUAUCCUAAUACUGGUAUCAUUAACUGUUGAUACACAAUGAUACAUUGCAGUAUUGUUUGGAGUGAACAUUCAUGGGUCAGUUAGUAUCAUUUGUAUGUAUCAAGCACAGAACCCUUUAGGAUUUAUGGUUCUGUCAGAGUGAUUAUCAGGCUGUGAAGAUGUGAAAAACACCCUCAAUCUAGAUUUCGUUUUCCACAUUCCUGGAAGUUAUUUUCAACAAAUAUGUAAACCAAAUAAUGUGAAGAUAGAAAGAUAUGAUAGAUGAUAAUUAUAACACAGAUUUUUUUGUCUAAAAACAACUUUGAUAAGACUUAGAUAAACUAAUACAAUAAAAUAUGGUUAUGACAAACUUAAAGGGACCACUAGUUGUUUGUUAGUUUGUAAUAACGGUAUUUUGUUAUGCACAUUUCAACUAAGAUCUACAGCAAAUGGCUGGGCAAGUGGCAUUAUGGUGAUGUUUGGCUGCUCGGGGUAUUAGUGGAGAUGUGCAUAGUGGUGUUAUCAUCUCAUGUUAUCAUAGACCAGGUAUAGUUGUAAGAAAAUGUUAUCAAUUAGAUUCACAUUACGAUAUCAAUGAUAGAGUAGACAACUCUGUAGAUACUGACAUGAAAUAGUGUGUGAGUGUAUCUUUGUUAGAGUUUCUUGACGACCAGCAUUGUACUCCUCAGUAUAACAUCCCAACUUUGUAUAAAGUAAACAGCUGUCAUCAUGUUUCUUCUUGGUUUCCUGACUAGUUUGUGAUAGUGUGUAUAUAGUGUAUAUAAUCACAGCAUCGCUUAUGUCAUAUAAUGUGUAUAAUGGUUCAAGAUUAUGAAUAUGAACAAAUCUUGUUCCACUAACCUCAACCCAACUUUUGUUCCACUGACCUCCACCCAACUCUUGUUUAUAAGAAUUCAAGAUUAUGAAUAUGAGCAUGUUAGCUUUACUUUUAAAAACCUGUUGUUUUGUAUGAUACUAGAGUGAUGUGGAAGGUUGCUGUUCGCUAUUUGUCUGUCAUUUCACAGUGGAAGCCUUUACAAAGGCCCAGACCAUGUGUGCAGGGGUAUUUGUUGUCAAAUGUUAUGUUUGUUAAACUAUCUAAAUGUGCAGACUAUAGACGGAUAAAUAUAUUGAAUAAGAUUUCAAGUGAUUUGAUUGGCUAAUCAAGAUCUUUUUGUGUGUGUAUCUUUCUGUUAACUGAAACAAAAUGGAGCCACACUUGAUAACAGACUGGUGUUUCCUCAUUGGCUCAUAAUGGAAUAGGCAUGGCUUGUGUUGUAAUAUUGUGCUGAAUCAGUAGAAUAGUGUAUGUGAAAUUAUUACUGUUGACAUGUUUAUUAAUAACAACUGCAUUCAGUAUGCAUUUGCAUAAAUAGUAAAAUCAAAGCAUGGAUUUACACUGUAUACACACUUGUUUUUACCAUCAUAAAAACAUUGAAAUUAAUUCUUAACUAAACAACUCUGUGUAUGCUAUAUUGUUUAGAUCAAUAAAUACAUCAUUCUGAUUAUGUAGAUUGAUUUCAAAACUGAUAACUACCUAUUCCCUAGUGUGCACACUUACGUUCCUAACUUGAUCAAUGGAAAAAACAUGGCUGAAAUCCAUUCCAAAAUGGCUGCUAGCCUAAUACACUGUGAUUGUUGUCUUGCAUGAUGGUUGUAGUUAUGUGAAACUUUGUACCGGAGUGGUGAAUAACUGAAUCAGGCCACACUCUUUACAAAUGCCGGAUGUUAUUAUGUUGAGAUUUAUUAGUAACCUAUUAUCUUGGUUAUGUUAAAAUAAGAAUACCUAAUUUUCAGUAUUCUUAAUUUUUUGUUCUCAGGUGUAUUGUGGGGUGCAGUUGAAUUAUUAAGAAAAAUAAAUUAUUAUUAUGUUUAUUGUACAGGUUGUUUACUACUUUUUACAUUUUCCCUCUUUGUAGAGAAGGAUUUGUGAUAGAUUAAUUAUGACUAUGUAGGCUAUAUAUAGAAUACAUUACUGGUACCUGUAAUUAAUUAUUUUUCAAAAGUUAAUUUACAUGGGUUUUUUUACGUUUCUAUUGAUGUCAUCAAAGAUAGAACAGUCAGACAUUAGAAUUGAAUUAAGCUGAUAGAAGAUUUUUUUUAAAUCAUCAAACAAACAAAAUCCUACAUAUUACUUCUGUAAAUUUUGAUUAUAGUUAUGUGUGAUGGAAUCAAUGAAUGGAUCAAGUGUAUAUUUAUUUUGGUAAGUGUGAAUGGGUUUUGAUUAGCACUAUCUGCAGAAUGAUGUGUGUGAUAUAGCAUGAUGUGUAGGAAAUCCUAAAGUGAUACAGGUCUUGAAUAUAUACCACUUUUUCAAAACUUACCACCAUCCUGACAAACCCAGAAACAUAAUCCGGUCCCACCAGGGUUUUACCAUGAAUCAUAAGGUGUCGGUGCACCUAAGGGACACAACUCUGCAAAGUGAAUUUAGGCACUUUUGGAGACUACAUCAACGGGUUCUCUGUUUUAAAUAAUUUAGGGAAUAAUUUCUGAAUGUGAUGAAACACAUUUAGUUCAUGCCUGAUUCAAGUCCCAAACCAAAACAAUUUAGCUCCGAACAGUGAGGCUGACAAUGCACAUACUACCAGGGAGAAUAGAAGAUUAUCCCUAGUACUACACAGAGUAACUGCCUUCAGCCUUGUUUUUUUUUAUGAACAGCAAAUUAACCAUAGCUUGCUGAUUCAACUUAAGGAUUAGUUACUGAAUAAAAAUUGACUGCAAAAUUAGAUUGUAAGCCAGUGUUUAUCAAAAUUAUCAGAGUAUCAAAAUUUAUUAGACUGGGAUAUUUACAGGCUGUCAUGGAAUAUUGCCAUGUGUAGCAUUAAACAAUGAAAAACAGACUUGUAUCAUGCUCAACGAUAUAGUUAUGUAUGAUAAUUGAACACACAGAAACAGCUCCUUUAAACACAUUGACUGGAGGCAUUCUCUGUUACCCAGUGUAUUUCAUUUCCUUUCUAUAGUGAGAAACAUCAUGGAUCUGCAGCUCCAUUGUACAGAUGACAGCAAUCAUUACUCCUCUCUGGACGGACAUGUAGUAUCAAAAAUGAACAAAUUUUACAGAAAAGCACUUCCUGAAUUAUAUUCAUAAAUUAUUAUAAAAGAGCUCAGAGACUUUCUUCAUUUUCAGAACUGAAUCUGUGGUAAUCAAGACUUGACACAUAUUCUAGACUUGCAUUGGCUGUAUUUGGUAUAUUUAUUGCAGGGUCUGUAUGACAGACUAUCCUGUCUCUAGCAUAGCAGACAAUUUCUCUUUGUGGUGAUAAUAAUUUGUUUGUUUGGCUCAAACUAAACAUGUAGUAACGAAUGAGUUCAGAGUAUAUAUCAUAACAGAAUGGAGAUAGAAUGAACGGUGAGUAGGUCUUAUGCUUAGUACAUGCACAUGGCAAACUGUUUUGUGCAAGUUGCACAUGGUGAUUUGUGCAUAUUUCGUGCAUAUUUUAAGAAGGUACACCUGUAUGUGUUAUGAUCAAUUAAGAAUGUUUCAUGUAAUACACAAGCCAGAAAGAUUGAAAUAAAGAAUCACAUGUA
rnacentral:misc_RNA from 1 species